CCGAAACUUAUUUGUGACAGUCUUUCUGUAGUGCCUCUCUGUGACUCAGCAUCUCUGCUAUAUGAUACCACCAAGAAGGAUGACCUUCAUGGAUGUGGAACAAAUCAAAGUAUGCAUUAACAAAAGACAAUCAAAUCAUACAAUCUCAAACUGUACAAUACAUAAACAAUAAACUACCACUAUUCAACUUAAUGCAGUUUAUGGUUGUAUCAGCUAAAUUCAAGCGUCAGCACACCAGUCAGGAAAGAAAGAGAGGAGAUGGCUGUGAGAAGAAGUCAGCCAAUCGCAUGCUGACUGGACCUCCCUCGAGGACAACAAUGCGACAGCAGCAGCCCCUGUGAAGUGGACAUAAGCACUGCAAUCGACUGGCAGGGCCCCAGUUCAAGAGCAGCUUCAAGAUUAGACACUUGUAUAGCAGUGUCAACUCUAUUCACUUCGUUUGUACCCUCUAUGUACC